ACUUUCGUAGUGUAAUGGUUAACACGCUCGACUCCCAACCGAGAGGCUCGUGGUUCGAUUCCCGGCGAAGGCA
rnacentral:tRNA from 1 species